rnacentral:rRNA from 1 species
CCUACGGGAGGCAGCAGUGAGGAAUAUUGGUCAAUGGUCGGGAGCCUGAACCAGCCAAGCCGCGUGAGGGAGGAAGGUACAGCGUAUCGUAAACCUCUUUUGUCAGGGAACAAAGGCGGGGACUAGUCCCCGGAUGAGGGUACCUGAAGAAAAAGCAUCGGCUAACUCCGUGCCAGCAGCCGCGGUAAUACGGAGGAUGCGAGCGUUAUCCGGAUUUAUUGGGUUUAAAGGGUGCGCAGGCGGCCUGUUAAGUCAGCGGUCAAAGCCCGGGGCUCAACCCCGGCGAGCCGUUGAAACUGGCGGGCUGGAGUUGGAGAGAAGUACGCGGAAUGCGUGGUGUAGCGGUGAAAUGCAUAGAUAUCGCGCAGAACUCCGAUUGCGAAGGCAGCUUACUAGACUAUAACUGACACUGAAGCACGAAAGCGUGGGGAUCGAACAGGAUUAGAUACCCGUGUAGUC